AAGACCUUGCGCUUUUGGAGCGGCCGAUGCCUGAUUAGCUUGUUGGUGAGGUAAAGGCUUACCAAGGCUUCGAUCAGUAGCUGGUCUGAGAGGACGGCCAGCCACACUGGGACUGAGACACGGCCCAGACUCCUACGGGAGGCAGCAGUGGGGAAUUUUGGACAAUGGGGGCAACCCUGAUCCAGCCAUGCCGCGUGAGUGAAGAAGGCCUUCGGGUUGUAAAGCUCUUUCAGCCGGAACGAAACGGUUACGGUUAAUACCCGUGACUACUGACGGUACCGGAAGAAGAAGCACCGGCUAACUACGUGCCAGCAGCCGCGGUAAUACGUAGGGUGCAAGCGUUAAUCGGAAUUACUGGGCGUAAAGCGUACGCAGGUGGUUUUGUAAGUCAGAUGUGAAAUCCCCGGGCUUAACCUGGGAACU
rnacentral:rRNA from 1 species